GGGGUCACUAGCCUCCCCAUUGUGACUCGUUUGAGCUCUUAGCCAGGCGUGUAGUCUGGCGGGAGCCGUCGCGGCUGGCUCGGCAGCUCCAGGCUAUUCCGAGGAACAGUCUUCAGAGAGCCUGGGGUGCUGAUGGGGAAAAGCUGUUGCUGAGAUUUGACAAGUUUGGUCCUGAGAUGUCAGAAAGGAUUUCAGCUCUUCUGCCACCCCAAGGACGGUGGCGCGUAAAUCACAGUGAGCUGGCUUAUGUCAGGUCAACUGUGGAAUUUGAUCCUAGCGCAUUGCUCCCUCCUCUUCCUUGCCUGCGUCUCUCCCUCUCUCAGCUCUAGUUUGAGAUCAGCACAGAUUCCCUGGGUGAUUUUUGAGAAAACUGCCUCCUCUUUAGGACUUGGCAUCCCCUAACCUGCAUCAGGAAAGGGUGGCGACAGAUACUCUCACACCCAGGGAGGCUGCAAGGCCCACCCUCUACCCUCCACCUGGGUUCUCUGGCGUCGAGACUUGUGCCCUACAGUUCUGGGCCGUUGGGGUGAUGUCCCAGUGGGACCAGGGUGAGGGUGCAGGUAUCUGAGGGAGUAGUAGGACCAGAACCUCUAACCUUAGGGAGGCUUCCUGGGAGCCAAGCUUGGUGACUUAGAAUGUGAAUGUCUGACCCAUAUCCCACUACCUUUUGGUGGGUGCUGCAGAGGACAAUGGAGAGAGAGUCAACUCUGAAGAGUGGUCUUGUGGAAGAGGCAGCUGGCUGGUUCAGUGUGGCACUGGCAGCCUCCCUAAGGUUCCCAGGUAGAAGUUUCUGACAGGUAGAUUUCAGCUGUGUUUAAGGAAGAACUUUGAAGUUGUCAGAAUGAGCGGUCUUGUGAUAGUGAGCUCCCUGUCUCCAGAGGCAUGCAAGCAGGACACUUUCACAUAUGCAUUCAAGAUGACCUAUGCAAGGCGUUGUGCUAAGUGCUAGGAGUGCAGAGGAGAACGAGACCCAGUGGGGAAACAGGCACUUGCAAUGCUGCUGUGAGUGUGAGCAGAGAGGACAAUGAAUCCAGGCAGUGAUCCACCAAUGAUAACUAACAUCAUAAAAAGAUACAUGGCCGGAUAUGAUGUUCCUUCUGACGGAAGACCACAACACCUGCUGAAAAAUCAAAUCUGAAUCGGAUCAAGCCUCUAGAGGAGGCAGCACCCAGGGUCAUUCCUGGAGCAUAAACGAUCCCUGCAGAACAUGGGCUAGAAGACCCCACAGUGGGGCAGAGGCAGGUCCUGGACUGGGAUCCCAGCAGUGAGAAGACCUGGACAUCAACCCUAUUUCAUUGUGCCUCUGCAAAUCUCCCAACUUUUGGAGCUGUAGCUGCAAGCUCAGACUUGUGGUUUCCUGUACCUGGAGGAGGCCCAGGUCAUUCUGUUAAGUCCCUUGUCUAUUUCCUGCUUUUAUCUGGAUGCUGAGUUAAUUAUUUGAUCCAACAAUAAAACUAACAAGGUUUUA
ensembl:lncRNA LINC00642 long intergenic non-protein coding RNA 642